GGGUCAGUAGGUUGGUCGUGCCACCGGUACGUACUGGUCUCACUGAUUCCUCCUUCCUGAAGAACCGUAAUGCCAUUAAUUUGGUGUUGCGGGGAAACAGGACUGUUACUUUGAAAAAAUUAGAGUGUUUAAAGCAAGCUAACGCUUGAAUACAUUAGCAUGGAAUAAUGAAAUAGGACGAUCGAUCCUAUUUCGUCGGUUUCUAGGAUUGACGUA
rnacentral:rRNA from 1 species